rnacentral:misc_RNA from 1 species
AAAGUCGUAACAAGGUUUCCGUAGGUGAACCUGCGGAAGGAUCAUUAACACGUUUUCAACGUUUUGACCCUAUCUCUAUUUUCCGUGCACCCGGCCUCCCGACCUUUCCUCUCAGUUUAUUCUGUCUGUGAUCGUGCCGGGCGCCUUCGGGGUUCAUAAGAGUCUUUGAAUCUGAAAAGGUUUGGUGAAAGCUAAACUCUAGUACGACUCGCUGACUUUUCCCGCUGGCGUUGCCAAACAACCCAAACCCUUAAAUCUAAUUGCUCUGAACUCUUUAGUUGCGGAUACAAUUCAUUUUGUUUCAACAACGAAUUAAAAACAAACAACAACUCUUAACAACGGAUAUCUUGGUUCUC